GCGGACGUAGUGCACGGUGCACCACUGCCUUCGAUUUGAAUGGCUUCUGGCAGUUGAAGCAGUCCAACGGGGUUCGACUCCCCGCGUCCGCA